rnacentral:misc_RNA from 1 species
GACAAUGGUGGGGACACCUACCGGCUUGUGAUAAACGAGUUGUUUAUGCCUCUUCAAGGAAUUAAAAAUAAACAAAUUUUACUUGUUUGCAUUUCAAAAUUGUAUCUUUAUAUAUGUAUUCACCGUAAUUCUCUUUAAGUGUAUUUAUACUUACAUUAGAAUUUUACGCAAUAAACAAAAAAUGAAUUCUUUUAUUGAGACUUGGUCUUCACCGACUUAAGAUAAUUAUUUUAAUGAUUUGAAUACAUAGCUAUAUAUAUAUAUAUGGAGAUCAGUGGAAAAUAAGAUUUCUUGCUGCUUAUACGUACGAUCUGACGUAUUUGUAAUUUUUCUAACCUUAUUACAGAAUGUUGACAAGUAUUUGUAUUCAUUUAUAAAAUGUCAAAACGUUGGAGCAAUGAUUAUGUGGUUACGGAACACCGUGACUUACAGGCUAAUACUAUGGCCAUAGAUGCAACUGGCAAUUAUGUUUUACUAGCUGGUCGUAGAUAUUUUGCCAUAAAACAACUGGAUGAAUGCAAAGAGACAUUAAAAAAAUUUCAACGACAAAGCAAAUAUGAAGUAGGUUCUGCAGAAUGGAAUCCCACAUCGCUAAAUUGUCACUUAUGUGCAAUAUCAAGUAAUACCCGUAUAGAAAUAUUAAACCUUUCAACAAAUGGUGGAUAUGAAUUGCAAACUAUUUAUAGUCUUAAGGCACACACCCGUGUUGUUAAUGAUAUAAAUUGGCAUCCUAAGGAACCUGACAUCAUAGCUUCUUGUAGUAUUGAUACUUUUAUACAUAUUUGGGAUAUAAGAGAUCAACGCAGACCUUGUUUAUCUUUAUCAGCAGUUGCUGGAUCUUCACAAGUACGUUGGAAUGGCUUAUCAUCUCAUACAUUGGCUACUACUCAUGAUGGAGAUAUUAAAAUAUGGGAUCAACGUAAAGGAAACAGUCCUGUUCAAUACAUAGCAGCUCAUUUAACAAAGAUACAUGGUUUAGAUUGGUGUCCAUUUAAUCAAACUCAAUUGGCAACAUCUAGUCAAGAUUGUACGGUUAAAAUUUUUGAUAUUGGCAAUCCAAAAAAGGCAGAAAAUAUUUUAACAACAAAUUCUCCUGUAUGGAGAGCACGAUAUACACCUUUUGGAGAAGGAUUAGUAACGAUUGUAGUGCCACAGUUAAGACGGGGAGAGAAUAGCCUCUUAUUAUGGAAUACAUCGAAUCUUAGUGCUCCCAUAUAUACUUUUGUAGGACAUACUGAUGUUGUUUUAGAGUUCCAAUGGCGACAUAAAAAAUUAGAAAACACGGACUAUGAAUUAAUUACGUGGUCAAAGGAUCAAUGUUUAAGGGUAUUUAAAAUUGAUCCUUUUUUAAAAAAGUUAUGUGGACAUGACAUUGACGAUAACGCAUCAGUUUUUUCUCAAUAUGGAAAAGAUAAUGCAUUAAGUUCUUUGCAAUCUGUUCAACAACUUCAAAUAAAUGAUGCACAAAAUAACCAGGAAACAAAUUAUAUAGAAACAAAAGUUGAUGAUUCUGCAUCAAGUACAGAAUUAAGUACAUUUUCUGAAAAUACAAAAGAUAUAUCAUCACCUACUCAACCAAAAACAUUACAACAAGAAUUUUCUUUAAUAAAUAUGAAUAUACCAAAUAUAGAGGUAAAUGCUAUGGAUGCAAGUGAACGAAGUUGUACUGUUACAGCGUGUAACACUAAUUAUAAUGUAGUACUUAAAGUAAAUUUCCCUAGAAAUUAUCCAUACAAUGCACAACCUACAUUCCAAUUUUGUCCUGGAACAAGCAUUGAUAAUGCGACAAUGGCAAAAUUAUUAAAAGUUUUGAAACAAACUGCUCAACAACGUGUCAGAAAAAACCGAUCCUGUUUAGAACCAUGUCUUAGACAAUUGAUUAUAACAUUAGAACAAAUAUGCAAAAAAGAUGAAAAUGAGACCACUCAUCUAGAUUAUUAUAUACAGGAUAAUGCAAACUUUUUGAAUUCUUCUAAUAUGUGUUCUAGUUACCAAGAUGCAUAUAUACCAUUUCCUCGAACAUCUGGUGCCAAAUUUUGUUGUGUAGGUAUACUUGUAUGUUUUGGUCGAUCUUCAUAUCCAAGGAGGUCUUCGGUAAAACCUGAAAGUAUAACACCUAGAGCAUUAUCUGCUUUAGGAAGCGGAAUCAAUAAUGGAGAACAUUUUAUGAAUAUGUAUCCAAAUACUUAUGUAGCAUCCAAUGAUGGUAUAUCGAUCAGUUCUUUUUAUUUUCAAGACCGUAAAAACAUAAGACGUAAUUUACAUGGUACAAAUAGGAUACAUGAUAGACCAUGUUGUAAAAAUUAUCGUUCAUUAGUUACAAUUUAUGAAGCUUCGUCUCUAUUUUUUGUUAGUAAAGAAUUAGCAGAAAAAUAUAUUAUUAAUAUAACAGAUAUUCCUGCUAUGUGUCAGUAUAAUGCAAAUGUUGCUGCUACAUUGGAAAGAGCUGAUUUGGUACAAGCUUGGUGUUUAGCUGCACUUGUUAUAUCACAAUCUUCUUCCAAUAUAGGACAAAACUUAUUUCAAACGUCAGAAAAUGAUCUUGCUCCGUGGACUUUACAUCCGUUUGGAAAAAAUUUAAUUCACUCUUUAAUUCAGUAUUAUGCUAAUCAAUCUGACAUACAAAUGGCUGGUAUGUUGAGUUGUGCAUUUAGCUAUCGAUCUGAAAAUGUAGAUGCUACACAAACACGAAUAGUUAGCAAAUCUGUUAAUGUCAGUGGUGUUCUGUAACUGAUGAUACUGAUUCUACGUGAAAAACUAAGUCGAACAUGUAGAAUAAAAUAUGUUCAUCUAACAAGGAGACCUUACGGUUGUGCCCUCACGGAUUUUAACGAGCUUUGGUAUAUUAGUAGUAUACUAGUAGGGUGUUAUUGUGAGGCUUUCUGCAAACAUUUCCGAUAAUGGUAGUUAAAGAGAGCCUGGUGGUUCCCCAUACCAUACAA